AGUUUUAUUGCUGCAAUUCAAGGUUGGCCAGAACAACCUUCAUUGGUCAAUCUUGAGAAUUUGUUGUCUGAUCAAGAAGCGUUAACCAGACAAAUGUUAGGAGCGUCGAUAAAGAAAGAAGAUGAAGAAGCAUUAUUUAGCUACAAAAGAAGAGGCCAAUUUCGUCAGCAAAAUUAUAAAGAAUUAAAAGAAGGUAAAUUUGAAGGAUGAAUUG
rnacentral:lncRNA from 1 species